rnacentral:rRNA from 1 species
UACGUAGGGGGCAAGCGUUGUCCGGAUUUAUUGGGCGUAAAGAGCGUGUAGGCGGCCCGAUAAGUCCGCCGUGAAAGUCCAGGGCUCAACCCUGGGAUGCCGGUGGAAACUGUCGGGCUAGAGUCCGGAAGAGGCGAGUGGAAUUCCUGGUGUAGCGGUGAAAUGCGCAGAUAUCAGGAGGAACACCAAUGGCGAAGGCAGCUCGCUGGGACGGUACUGACGCUGAGACGCGAAAGCGUGGGGAGCAAACAGG